rnacentral:rRNA from 1 species
UACGGAGGGGGCUAGCGUUGUUCGGAAUUACUGGGCGUAAAGCGCACGUAGGCGGCUUUGUAAGUUAGAGGUGAAAGCCCGGGGCUCAACUCCGGGAUUGCCUUUAAGACUGCAUCGCUAGAAUCGUGGAGAGGUGAGUGGAAUUCCGAGUGUAGAGGUGAAAUUCGUAGAUAUUCGGAAGAACACCAGUGGCGAAGGCGACUCACUGGACACGUAUUGACGCUGAGGUGCGAAAGCGUGGGGAGCAAACAGG